rnacentral:lncRNA from 14 species
GAGCAAGGUCCCACGUAGCAAAAGGGAGUGAGCAGGUUGGGAGGAACAGCUCUCAGCCUUGGUGUCUGUGGCUGAUGGUGUCCUCUCCCCCACAGUACAUCGUCCUGUUUGUGGCCAAGGUGCUGAUGGGGCAGAUGCAGGAGGUGAACGAUGUGCGUGAGUACGACGUGGAGGACAGCAAGAAACCCACAGCGACCAAGAAGAAGGAGGCUGGACUCCAACUGCCCCAUGCUCUGAAAGAAGGGAUGCACCUCAAGAAUGGACUCGUGAAGGACAAGCGGUUGUGAGGGACACGGAGCUGGGGCUGCCCCAGGACUCAAACCCAGCACGAGGAGAGCUUCAUCCCUGCCACCCCUUCACCCCCUGCCCGGAGCCGGGGGAGGCACCACUGACAGGAUCAGGCCCCUCCUGGGGCUUGGCUGUGACCAGGCUUCACCUGAUGCUCGUGUGCUUUCUGUAGCCAGCCCGUGCUGGUUCAGCUGGGGCUGGUGGCUUUGCUGGUCCAGGUAGGAUUUGGAGCUGGCUUUAGGUCCCCUGGUGUUUCUUCUGUCGCUCCAUCCCUUGGCUGCUCUCAGUCCCUUUGUGGUAUUCCCUGUCUUUACUGUUGGACCCUUCCUAAGCAGCCCCUGGAGGCUCCUCUGCUGGGGAGGGAAACGUCCUCUCCUGCAUGGGCAGCACCAUCCCAGGCCAGGGGAGCCUCUUGGGGACCAGAGGUGAUGUGGGUCACCUCUGAGCCUUCCUCCUCAGGAGGGGUCCCACAUCUGCCUGCAGGCUCAGCACAGCUUCCAUGAGCCAGCCUGCCUGGAACCCCAGCCCUGGAGCGUUAGUGCAGCCUCCUGGCCUAGCCAGGAGCUUGACUUUGCUUAUAAAGCCAAUGUAGAUGUGAAGAGUUGCUCAGAAAGCCAGGCCCAGUCCUGCAGGGUCCCCUGCUGAGGGGUCUCCAGGCCCUCACCCAGCAGCAUCUGCUUGCUCAAGAACACACAGCUCCUGCUCCUUGGGUUGGUUUUCCAUGCAGGGCUGGCCUGAGCCUUGUCCCGAGGCUGUGUCUGUGCUGGGCAGUCCCAUCGCUCUCCCCUUGCAGGGCCAGGGCUGCUCCUGUGUCUGUGCUGGGAUGUGCAGCUCCCUUCCAGCAUGAGGGGGGGAUUCAGGGUGUUAAUCCCAGUUCCUUGUGGGUUUAUUCCGUGUCUGGGCACUGCAUUGAGUCGGAUCCAGGGAAGCUCCUUGGAAAACAGAGAGCAAAAGGUGACUUGGGCUGAUGGAGCCUGUCCCAGGCUCUGGGAUCCAGCC